AUUUGGUGGAUGCCUUGGGUCUGAAAGUCGAUGAAGGACGCGAUUACCUGCGAUAAGCUUCGUGGAGUUGGAAAUAAACUAUGAUACAGAGAUUUCCGAAUGGGGUAACCUAACUGAGCAAACCUCAGUUGCAUUUUGAUGAAUCCAUAGUCAAAUUAGCGAGACACGUUGCGAAUUGAAACAUCUUAGUAGCAACAGGAAAAGAAAAUAAAUAAUGAUUUCGUCAGUAGUGGCGAGCGAAAGCGAAAGAGCCCAAACCUGUAAAAAGGGGUUGUAGGACAUCUUACAUUGAGUUACAAAAUUUUAUGAUAGUAGAAGAAGUUGGAAAGCUUCAACAUAGAAGGUGAUAUUCCUGUAUACGAAAUCAUAAAAUCUCAUAGAUGUAUCCUGAGUAGGGCGGGGCACGUGAAACCCUGUCUGAAUCUGCCGGGACCACCCGGUAAGGCUAAAUACUAAUCAGACACCGAU
rnacentral:rRNA from 1 species